rnacentral:rRNA from 1 species
ACUCCUACGGGAGGCAGCAGUGGGGAAUAUUGCACAAUGGGCGCAAGCCUGAUGCAGCCAUGCCGCGUGUAUGAAGAAGGCCUUCGGGUUGUAAAGUACUUUCAGCAGUGAGGAAGGUGGUGUCGUUAAUAGCGGCAUCAUUUGACGUUAGCUGCAGAAGAAGCACCGGCUAACUCCGUGCCAGCAGCCGCGGUAAUACGGAGGGUGCGAGCGUUAAUCGGAAUUACUGGGCGUAAAGCGCAUGCAGGUGGUUUGUUAAGUCAGAUGUGAAAGCCCGGGGCUCAACCUCGGAAUAGCAUUUGAAACUGGCAGACUAGAGUACUGGUAGAGGGGGGUAGAAUUUCAGGUGUAGCGGUGAAAUGCGUAGAGAUCUGAAGGAUACCGGUGGCGAAGGCGGCCCCCUGGACAGAUACUGACACUCAGAUGCGAAAGCGUGGGGAGCAAACAGGAUUAGAUA